CGAACGCUGGCGGCAUGCCUAACACAUGCAAGUCGAACGAGACCUUCGGGUCUAGUGGCGCCCGGGUGCGUAACGCGUGGGAACCUGCCCUUAGGUUCGGAAUAACUCCCCGAAAGGGGUGCUAAUACCGGAUAAUGUCUUCGGACCAAAGAUUUAUCGCCUUUGGAUGGGCCCGCGUUGGAUUAGCUAGUUGGUAGGGUAAAAGCCUACCAAGGCGACGAUCCAUAGCUGGUCUGAGAGGAUGAUCAGCCACACUGGGACUGAGACACGGCCCAGACUCCUACGGGAGGCAGCAGUGGGGAAUAUUGGACAAUGGGCGAAAGCCUGAUCCAGCAAUGCCGCGUGAGUGAUGAAGGCCUUAGGAUUGUAAAGCUCUUUUACCCGGGAUGAUAAUGACAGUACCGGGAGAAUAAGCUCCGGCUAACUCCGUG
rnacentral:rRNA from 1 species